CCAUAUUCAAUUCAAUUCAAUUCCUUUAUUCCAAUACAAAAACAAUGUACAAUAUAGAACAGAAUAAUAAUUAUGGAAUAAUUAUUUCCCCGCAUGGACUGUUGAUCCGUGCGCGGGGAAAGAGUACACAAUCUAUACAGGUAAUACAAGUGCAAAAAAAACAGUCAAUAAUUUAUAUUGAUUCAAGCUUAACCUAUAAAUAA